GACGAACGCUGGCGGCGUGCCUAAUACAUGCAAGUAGAGCGCAGUUGCGAACGGGUGAGUAACGCGUAGGUAACUGCCGCAUAGCGGGGGAUAACUAUUGGAAACGAUAGCUAAUACCGCAUACUGUGAGAUGGACCUGCGUUUGAUUAGCUAGGUGGUGAGGUAAAGGCUCACCAAGGCGACGAUACAUAGCCUGCCUGAGCGGGUGGUCGGGCACACCUGGACUGGUACAAGGCCCCGAACCCUACGUGGGGCAGACGUAGGGAAUCUUGGGAAAUGGAUGGAAGUCUGACCGAGCAACGCCGCGUUAGUGAAGAAGGUUUUCGGAUCGUAAAGCUCUUUUGUUAGAGAAGCGGUAACGACCGAGAAAGGGACGGCUAACUACGUGCCAGCAGCCGCGGUAAUUC
rnacentral:rRNA from 1 species